GCUGCCGUAGUUCAACGGAUAGAACGGGAGUUUCCUAAACUCUAAAUGGAGGUUCAAUUCCUCCCGGUGGCA
rnacentral:tRNA from 1 species